rnacentral:sRNA from 1 species
UCUAAUUGAUUUGUGCAUGGCUUCUAUAAUUACCAAGCGUGAUGAGUUGAAUUCAAAAAAUGGAAGCCAGAACAAUCAAUAUGCGUCUGUGAUAAAUCCACUUUCAUGUCUAACUCACUAGAUCCACCAAUUUUACCACAGGAGAACGAAGAAAAACGAUGGAGCAACAACGAUAUUGAAUCUCCCAUAGGACAAAGGAAAAUCGAGAUCCUUACCUGACAAAAAUGGUGGCUUGGAUUGAAUCCAGUGAUCUGAAAAGAAUUUGAUCGAUGUCUUAAACUGUGAAACUUAAAGAAAAAAAGAAGAUUUAGAAGUCGCUUACCUUUUGGAUGUGGAAGCAGGGACGGAGACACCGAGGUCAUCACUUAUCAAUUAUUGUCAUUGUCCAUCGUUAAAGAGAGACUUGCCGAAACAGAACUUUUGGGCAUUAAUGGACCAUUUGGUCCACAAUAUUAAUUAUACAUUGUUUUGAUUUAUAUUAACGGGCUUUUCAUAUGGGCAAC